CCUACGGGUGGCAGCAGUGGGGAAUAUUGCACAAUGGGGGAAACCCUGAUGCAGCGACGCCGCGUGAGUGAAGAAGUAAUUCGUUAUGUAAAGCUCUAUCAGCAGGGAAGAAAAUGACGGUACCUGAGUAAGAAGCCACGGCUAACUACGUGCCAGCAGCCGCGGUAAUACGUAGGGGGAAAGCGUUCGUCGGAUUUACUGGGUGUAAAGGGAUCGUAGAUGGCAGGGCAAAUCUGGAGUGAAAGGCGGGGGCUCAACCCCCGAAUUGCCCUUGAAACUGUACGGCUGGAGUGCAGGAGAGGUAAGUGGAAUUCCUGGUGUAGCGGUGAAAUGCGUAGAUAUUAGGAGGAACAUCAGUGGCGAAGGCGACUUACUGGACUGUAACUGACGUUGAGGCUCGAAAGCGUGGGGAGCAAACAGGAUUAGAUACCCGAGUAGUC
rnacentral:rRNA from 1 species